GCAGCAUCUUAGGACCAGCGGCGUUGGUGGCUCUUCUCCUUAGGGAUAACUCGUGAACUCGAGCAGUAGGAUCCCAGCAGGGAGAGAAAUCAGGAUAAAAAUGAGAACUAGAAUUUCAUUCCCAUCCAGGUCGAACGACCCACACGCAUAACUCCUUUCUGGGACACUCGCUCGCAUCUCAGCACCGGCAGGAAGGGCCGGGAGAGCGCGCAACUCCGCGUCUGAGCCUCGCGGUGGAGGCUGGCGGGUUGGCUCACACGGACGCAGGACACCGCCCUCCGGGACCCGGGUCGGAGCAAGCCAGCCUUGUUGCUGCGGGGACCACGCGGGAGAGACUUUUGACACAAGCCACGUUUGGUUUCAAAGAAAAGAGGGUACUUACCUGAAAUUUGCACUCCCAUGGCGGUGCAAGGCCCUCCGCUCAAAGCGGAGCUCCACCCGAAUUUGACAAGUGAAGUUGGUAGACUUGGGACCAUAAACUGGAAAACAAGAUAUGAAAGUAUGCUCCAAUCAAUCUUUACUGUUCAUAGAGGACAACCAUUUGGGAAAUUCACAGACCAUUGAACCUUGUCUCUGAAUUCCCAGUUCAGCACCUCUACUUUUAGAGAAGAGAAACACAACUCUGAAGAGGACACUUUGAAAGGUACUGUUUUUUGUGGUGUGUAAAUAACUUCUUUAUGAGAGGCAUUUGGUGGUUAUAAAGGAAAAGUUGCUAAUGAUAGAAAAAUAAUUUCUGGGGGUGCCUGGGUGGCUCACUCGGUUAAGCGUCUGACUUCGGCUCAGGUCAUGAUCUCAUGGUUCAUGAGUUUGAGACCCACUUCGGCUCUGUGCUGACACCUCAGAGCCUGGAGCCUGCUUUGGAGUCUGUGUCUCCCUCUCUCUCUGCCCCUCCCCUGCUCACGCUCUGUCUCUCAAAAAUAAAUAAAUGUUAAAAAAAAAAAAA